rnacentral:lncRNA from 1 species
GCUUGGUUUAAAAAAGUCUGUAUUAUAUUUUUAAGUGUAUUUUGAAGCAAUUAAAAAGGAAAAAAUUGGUAACAUUAAUUUUGUAAAUCACAAAAGAUUGAUAACAUGAUAUCCACAACCAUCAGAAAUUAGUUCGUUUCACUCUUUACCGUGUCGGUUUUUUUGAAAUGUCUUACAAUUCAAUUUUUUGUUGAAACGUCUCUUAAGCUAAAUUAAAGACAUUUCACAUUAAUCCCAGAUUUAUAUAAAACACCAGGUAAGUAAUUAAUAUACAUUUCGGUUAAGUCGAAAUCUCCGAAUGCCUUGCUUUUUUAUGUGUAUGAAAUAUACCGUGGUCCCUUUCUCUUAGUAUCGGCGAUGGUUUGUCUACGUGUAUAUUCGGCUAAAUUUGGGCAAGUGUAUCCGAAAGAUAUACCUCUGUUUAUACGAUAUAUAUGAAAACAAAUAUUCACUUAUAAUGAUAGAAAAACCAAAAUGAUUACUGCUCUCUGACUGUCGUUCUGGGCAUAGUUUACGAUUACGAGAACAAUGAUACAGUGGCACAGUACCAAGGGAACAGGAUUGGGGAGUUGGAGGCAAGCAUCGUGCAUGAAUCGGAAAUGUGAGGAAGCGAAGAGAUAUAGAGACGUAGCUUGGUUUGGCGUGGUAAAGUGUGAGAAGUUUUCUUGUUAAAAGUGGGUGAAACACAGCUUCUAGAAUUCAGUUGCACAUUUAUUUGGGUACUACUAGAACAGUGGUCCGGUGCGCGCACUCGCGCAUCCACACUAGCUAGUUGUAAGUAGUCGAUCCUAGAACGACUCUUUAACCCUAAACGUAACCCUAACCUUUGUUUAUAAAAAUAAUUUAUUUAAUUUGUGUAAAAAAAUUAUUACAUUGUUUUAUAUAAGCAGUUUUGAAGAGAGCAGGUUAGUUAACACUGUGGACCACAGUAUUUUACUGGUACUUUAUGUUUAUCGACUCCUUGGAUAACCGAAUUGACCACUUUGCUGGCCUCUGGUCAACAAUGACAAGGAGUGGGGAGAGGAUUGUUGGAAAGUUGACACGAUACGUUUUUUUUUUUCCCUUCAUAACUUUCAGGAUCGAGUUUGGCGCCCUAUCACGAACAUGACGAAAAACCAGUCUAACGUUCAAAAUCGUUGGAAGAGGUUAUCGACUCCUUGGAUAGCCAAGGUGUCAAUGUUGACCACCUUGCUG